UUUUUCUGGAUUUGUCUUUUCCUUCUUUUCCAAACACCAGAAAAUUUUUUGAAAUGCAACCAAACACAUGGAAACAUUUUCCUUUCCGGAAAAUAGCAUUUUCGGAAAAUGAAAUAUUUUCCGGAAAUGUUUUUACACGAACCAAACACAGCCUUAAUAGAAAACUCAAUAAUAAUUAAAGUAGCCUAUAAAUGUUGUCAAGAAAGCCCCACAUUGCAACUAGACCCCAAUUCUUUUAUCUUCUAGUAUUUAAUCUUCUUUUUUCCCAAAUUCUUUACUCUUUGCAUCAACUAUAUGACAUAUUGCUUUACUAAAAUGUGCACAAUAUAUUCUUAUUCUUAUAAAAUAAUCUGUUUUGUAUAAUAUUUAAAUAAAUACAAUGCAUAAUAUAGUAAAAUGUAUGUACAUUCCUCAAAUUUUGACUAUUUUCUAAUCACACCCUAUGUGUUUUGCUAUUGUGUUUAUUAGAAUCACGUGAUUUAGAAUUACUUGAUCAUUCCACUUUCCUCCAUUGUUCUUGGAAUAUUAUUUUGGGAUGCCUUAAGGAAAAAAAAUUGUAGAAUAAUUUAAAAUAUUCUUUUUAUGUUUUUUUUUUUUUUUGCUAGGGCGGCAGGGAAGGUAAGAAUAAUUUUAUUAAAAAAGAAUACUUCAUGUACAAUAACACAAAGUAUACUAAAAAAUUACAAAAAUACAAGGACUCUAUAAACCUUGGAAAUGGAAUCUCUAGUGAAAAAGGAGAGCCUUCAUGAGGCCUUCACUCUCUAGAUGCCAUUCUAGGGGAAAAGGAUAGAAGUGGAACCCCCCAAAGCAUUGUAUUAGGAAUGAAAAUCAAACUCGGAUCCAUUCUUUUUCAACCUCCAUUCUUCUUAUGUUUUAAUUUUUUAAUUUUUUUAGACCGGAAAGAUAAUUAUGUAAGUGUAUAUAUAUUUUUCUCAAAUCACAUAUUAUAGGUCAGUUUUUUGUUAAUGCUUUAUUGAAGGGGGUUGUGGAUGAUUUUGUUUGGGCUUGUAUUGGUUUUUAUGGUCCUAAUGAUCAUAGUCUACAGGGUACUCUGUGGGAGGAGCUUGCUAGGGUGCGUGCUAGGUGGAACAAGGCAUGGGGUUUGAUUGGGGAUUUUAAUAAUAUUCGGUAUCCGAGUAAGACAUUUGGUUGUGAGUCUUUUAGCCUGGCUAUGUUUGCUUUCUCAGACUUUAUUGAGGCCAAUUAUCUUGUAGAUUUACCCCUUGAAUGGGUGUAUUUCACAUGGUUUAGAGACUCUGGGACAGACUGUAUGUCAAGAAUUGACAGGACUCUGGUUUCGGUGGAUUGGGUAGAUCAUUUCCAGAAUGUGUCUCAAAGGUACUCCCUCGAGUGGUUUCUGAUCAUUGUCCACUUUUGGUGGAAGUUGGUGGUGUUAGUAAAGGUCGCAAUGCUCUUAAAUUCGAAAAUAUGCGGUUGAAAGAUGAGUGUUUUGUGGAGAUAGUUUGGCAAAUGUGGGGUGGGUAUUGUUUCUUGGGCUAUUCAAGUUUUUAUUUUGGCUUGAAAAUUAAAAGCUUUUAAAGAUGAUUUAAAGAAGUGGAAUUUGGGGACCUAGCAUUUAGGAAGAAGAGCCUUUAAUUUGAACUUAUAAGUUUGGAUGCUAGAGAAGAUUUUUUGGGCCUCAUGCAUGAGGAACAAACUUGUCGUACUUUGAUUAAAGGUGAUAUUGCUCAUUUAGCUUCUUUGGAGGAAAUUUUUUGGAGACAAAAGUCUCAGGUUCUGUUUGUGAAGGAGGGUGAUAAUAAUACUUGUUUCUUUCACCAGGUAGCGAGCUCUCACAGAAGAACUAAUCAUAUUAGAGGUUUAGAGGUGGAUGGUGUUCCAUAUGAGGAUGAGAUAGUUAUGCAUUCUAAGGUGGUUUAGUUUAAUUAGGAUUUGUACACGAAGACAGACACAUGGCAUCUUACUAUGUAUGGUUUGGAAUUGGCUAGUAUUGAGGAGGAUGAGAGGCUUUCUCUUGAGAGAGAUUUUUCUAAAGAGGAGGUGAUCCAAGUUCUUAAAGGAGAUGGAAGGUGAUAAGGCCCCAGGUCCUGAUGACUUCACUAUUUCUUUUUUCAUAAAUGUUGGAGUGUAGUGGAAAAGAAUAAGGAUGUUAUGGCCUUCUUUGAUCACUUUCAUAGGAAUUCAGAGUUUGAAUGGUCUUUGAAUGCUUCUUUCCUAUCCUUAGGCUUCAUUUGGGAGUUCAUAAGGGAAUGAAAUGAAAUGGAAUGUAUUUAAACAAGGGAAUGGAAAUGAAUGUAUUUAAGCAAAGGAAUGGAAAAGAAUGGAAUGUAUUUAAGCCAGGGAAUGGAAUGGAAUGAAAUUAAGUAACCUUAAUUGGAUAUUUUAAAAUAAAGAUAUGAAAAUGAAUAGAAUUUAAGUAAUCUUGUCUGAGAGUAACAUGGAGGGAAUUGAAUGAAAUCAUUUUAUGAAAAUAUUACUAUUAGACCCUUAUUUUAAAAUAAAGGGUUGAAUAUAAGAGGUAUUUUAGGAGUUUUAGUAAAAAAUUUAUUAUAUUUAAUUUCAUUCCGUUUCAUUCCUCCCAAUUUUGGAGAGAAUGAAAAUUUGAGGUUUUAAGGGAAUAUAGAGGAAUAAGCGUCCCAUCCUACAUUUUCCAUUCCUUCUUAUUUAAACUCCAAAACAAGGAAAUGAACUUUUCAUUCCCUCCAUUAAAACUCCCAAACAAAGGAAGGGAAGAAUAUUCUAAAAUUUUUCUUUUUAUUCAUUUCCAUUCCAUUCCCUCCUCUCAAACGAGGGCUUAAUUUCUAAGAAAAAUAAUGCGCUGAAUAUUAAAGAUUUUCAGUCUAUCAGUUUAGUGGGUACAAGUUGUUAUCAAAGGUGUUGGCAAACAAUUUAAGGAUGGUGCUGGAAAAACUCAUUUUUUAGUCCCAAAAUUCUUUUGAGGGUGGUAGACAAAUUUUGGAUUCUCUGCUUAUUGUUAAUGAGUGUCUUGAUAGUAGAUUGAAGAUUUGUACACCGGGUGUGGUGCUAAUGAGUGUCUUGAUAGUAGAUUGAAGAGUCAUACACCGGGUGUAGUGUGCAAGUUAGACAUUGAAAAGCCUAUGAUCUUGUGAAUUUGGAUGUCUUGUUUUAUCUUUUGGAUAGGACGCGGUUUGGGGUACGAUGGAGGAGUUGGUUAAAGGCCUGUGUCACUAUUGUCUGCUUUUCAAUGUUAGUGAAUGGUUCUCCUGCUAGUUUCUUUGGAAGUUCUUGAGGUCUAAGACAACGUGACUCAUUGUCUCCUCUUCUCUUCCUUUUGAUCAUGGGGGUUCUAAGUAGGAUUUUGAAGAAAACUGAGGAUGGUGGUUUUAUUUUGGGCUUUCUUGUGGGUUCUGUUAACUCUACUGGUAUUCAUAUUUCCCACCUUCUCUUUGCUGAUGAUGCUAUUCUUUUUUGCAAUGCUUCUAGGGAGCUGUUGCUUUCGAUUAGGUUGGCUGUCUUCUUUUCAGGAUUUUACUGGUUUGAAGGUGAAUGUGGGGAAAAGUGAGAUUGCCUCUAUUGGAGAGGUGAGUAACAUUCACAUUUGGCUAAUAUUCUUCGAUGCAGGGUGGGUAGUUUGCCUAUGAAAUAUUUGGAUAUUCCUUUGGGUACUUCGUAUAAGACAACAUCUAUCUGGAAUCCUAUUUUGGAGAGGAUGGAGAAAAAGCUUUCGGGUUGGAAGAGACCUUAUUUAUCAAAGGGAGGUAGGCUCAUUUUGUUGAAAAGUACCCUUUCAAGUCUUCCGACUUAUUAUCUUUCUCUUUUCAUUGUCCCUAAAGCCGUGACUGCUAGAUUAAAAAGUAUUCAAAGAAAUGUUUUGUGGGGAUCCUCAGAGGAGUGUUUCAAAUACCCUUUGGUGGCUUGGGAAAAAUGUUUGCUUACCUCUUGAGUUCGGUGGAUUAGGGAUUCGGAAAGUGGUGUCUUUUUAAUCAGGCUUUAUUAGGGAAAUGACUUUAGGGGUAUGGUCAUGAAGGUAGUCAUCUUUGGCGGAGGGUUACUACCAUGAAAUAUGGGAAGGGGAAAGGGGGGUGGAGUACUAUAGUUUGUAGAAGGGCCCAUGGGUGUGGUUUAUGGUGAAGCAUUAGUGAAGGGUGGGUGAGUUUUUCUAAGCACUUGUAUUUUGUGGUGGGUGAUGGUUCUCGUAUUCUUUUUUGGCAUGAUAAGUGGAUUGGGGAUAAUUCUCUCAGAGUUCUUUACCUUGAGUUGUUUGCUUGUUCAGCCAAUAAGGAAAGCUUGUAUUUAGGAUGUUUUGUGUCUUCCAGUGGGUGGUAAUGUUAGAGUGUGGAACUCAUUUUUUAGGGAGUUCAAUGAUUGGGAGUUAGCGGCUUCUUUCUCCUUUCUUCACUUGAUUCAAUCUCAGAUUCCUAGGGGUGUUGGAAGCGACAGUCUUUGUUGGGGCAUUAAUGGUAGUGGGAAGUUUGAUACUCGGUCUUUCUACCAUAAGAUUUGGGUGGCUUCUACUUCCUUUUUCCUAUGGAAGGGUAUUUGGAACGUAAAGAUUCCUAAAAGGGUGGCCUUUUUUAAGUGGACAGCAGCUUAUGGCCAGAUUCUUACAUUGAAUAAUCUUAUGCUUCUAGGUUGCCCCUUGGCAAAUUGGUGUUGUAUGUGUUGUUGUAAUGAGGAAUCUGUGGAUCACCUUCUUAUUUUUUUUGUCCAUUAGCUCAUUCUUUGUGGGUGCAUAUGCUUCGACUGUUUGGGAUCCAUUGAGUCAUGCCAGGUUGUUUGUUGUGGAUUAUUUGGACGGAAUGUAAUCGGUGUACUUUUCGAGGAUACUGUGAAUUCUUUGGCUCAAGCUAGCGGACUCUUUUUGAUUGGUUAGGGUGUUGGGUUCUCUCGGAUUGUUCUUCCCUUACUGAAUUUCUUUUGUCUCUUAGGUUAGUUUCUUGAUUCCUUUGUUUCUUUGUUUUUGUGUUGUUCCUUGUUCAUUAUCGUGAACACUUUGUAUUCUUUUUUCUCUUUAUUUUCAAUAAUAUUACUUUCUUACCUAUCAAAUAUAUAUAUAUAUACAAAAAAAAAUUUCAAAAAUUUAUUUAUAGCAAAUUGGACUUAAGAUUGUGAUUAAUUCAAUAUUAAAUAGUGUGAUAAAAACAAAACUAAAUGGCAUAAUAAGAAAGGAGUCAAAGUUGGAGAGGAAUCAUAAUAUUUUACACAAAAGAUUUUAUGCUAAAUUUACAUCCUUUUAUAUUUUCCUAUUUCCUUUCAGAUAUAUCAUCACUUGACAUAUUUGAAGCGGAUUUUAUGUGUUAAUAUUUUUUGGGCGUUGUCUAUAAAUAUGCUUAAUCUAACAAGAAUAUAGACAACAACAACAACCAAGCUUUAAUCCCAAAAAGUUGGGUUUGUUAUGGUUCCCCAACAGACUAAUUAGAGUCAACCACAUGUAUUUUUUUUCACUACUCUAUCCUAUCCAAAAUCAUACUUUGUCAUCUCGUGACAUGUCCUAUUUUAUUACUACUGACACAGGACAACCAGAACAAAAUUAAAAUAACAAUAAAAUAAAAGGAAUAUGACGUAGGAGUCAGCACCUAGGCCUUGCUUGGAGUUAGCACCAAGUGGGGAAACCACUAGGAGUCGGCACCUAUGGUAGACCUGGAAUACCAAAGAGAGACCAAACAGCCAUUUUUUUCAUUCAUCAAAAUAUCAACUAUUUCCUCAAUGAGUAUAAUAGGUUGCUUAUAAAGGAUUGCUAAACCCUAGUUCUAAUUGGCUAGGAAACCCUAAUUGCCUUAUUACAGAAAUAACCUUGUUUCCAAAUUAAAAUACUAAUAGGACCUAAAACAUAAAAAUAUAAUUGACUUGCAAACAUAAAUAAUACUAAAUAGUAAUUUUCUUGCGUCUUCCGCAUCAUUCUCCUCUAGUUGGAGAAAACUCAACCUUGAGUUCUAAAGUGUUGAAGGAUUAGGAUACUGACAAGUAACACUUGCUUCAAGUCUGGAAUCACCCUAGGAGAAAAAUCUUGAAUUCCAUCAUGUCAAACUCUUCUGGAAUAACAAAAUCAAUAUGUGGAAUCAACAUAAUUUUAUCUUGAACCAUUGGAAGCACCAUGUUAUCCACUCUCCACUUUAGGAAAUUGUUUGUCUUCAUACACCAUGGAAGGCUGAUUAAAAGCAGAUUCAUUAGCUUCCAAUAUCACAUUAUGUGUACCCUCUAACAUAAUACUCUCUUUAGAAACCAUCUCUUCACCUUGUUGCUCUUCAAUAGAUUUGUUUCCUUGCACGCAUGUUAAAGCAACACUUGCCGAGGCUUGUACAUCUUUGUCAACAUUAGGCUUUGGUGUCAGUUGAGGUUUCUCCACUACCAACAUAUCAUCAUCAAUGUUGUCUUCUAUGGGGGCAGCAAUAAUUUCAUUGUGAUCAAUUAUCCUUGGUUUCCCUAUUGAAUCGGUUUUAGUCUUCAUUUGCUUUAUCUGAGCAACCAUGUUUUGAACAUCCUUCAUGAGCUUUUCAGAUAAUUCCUUUAAGUAUCUACCACACUGAGAUUGUGGUAGAUACUUAGCUCGAAAGUAUGAUGACAAAUACUCAUCACAAAGCUUUUCUUUCAUAUCUUCCUACACAUUAAUGGCAGGUUCAUACUUUAGAUAGUGGAAAUAUUCAAAAUUCUCCCAAAACAUUUGUGCUCCACCUUUUAACUUCAACUUUGCAUACCUAACCUUUUUGUUAUCUGCAAAAUUUGCUUGCUCAAAGAAUUGCUCCAUCCCAUUCAUCCAGUUGACAAAAUCCCGUGGAUUAGUUUUACAAUCAUCAAAAUAAGGUGCUUUUGAUAUUACCAUGAUUCUCUAAAAUAGUUGGAAGUUGGAACAAGAACCUAGGUUGCUAUGAUGUUCUCUGGACAGAUCGUUGGAAUAGGCUUCCAAGACUAUUCUCUCAAAUAGUUGCUGGUACUGGGUUGGUUGACAAGUUUGGAUUUCGUGGGCUGGGUCUUGUAUUAUUAUUAUUAUU